AUAGCAAUUACCCAGUGAGUCCACCAUGGUAUGGUCUAUGCUCCAAUAGGAUACACAUUUGGAGCAGGAAUGUUUUAAGAUAGACGGCCUGAGAGGAGGUUCCCCUUAUGGAGCAGGAGUUUUCUUAGGAGACCACACAAGAGAACCCACUGAAACAAAGCUCACACUGGUGGAGCACCUGGGAAAGUAUAUGGCAUUGAUGGCGAAGAGGGUGUGAGAGCAUACUCCUUGUGUGUAAAUAGUUGACAAAAUUGGUACUCAUUCCAAAGCGGAUCGGUAUUUGUGCAUUCUUUGUUCACAGGAAGUUCCCAAGUAUGCAAUGUAGAAGACUCCAUGAAACAAGGACUCGUUGAUUUA